AUUGAACGCUGGCGGCAGGCCUAACACAUGCAAGUCGAGCGGAACGGCGGACGGGCGAGUAAUGCCUAGGAAUCUGCCUGGCAGUAGGGGAUAACGUCCGGGAACGGGCGCUCAUACCGUAUCCUUUGAGCUGAGCCUAGGUGGGAUUAGCUAGGUGGUGGGGUAAAGGCCUACCAAGUCGACGCUCCGUAACUUGUCUGAGAGGAUGAUCAGUCACACUGGAACUGAGACACGGUCCAGACUCCUACGGGAGGCAGCAGUGGGGAAUAUUGGAGAAUGGGCGAAAGGCUGAUCCAGCCAUGCCGCGGGUGUGAAGAAGGGCUUCGGAUUGUAAAGCACGUUAAGUUGGGAGGCGUUACCAACAGAAUAAGCACCGGCUAACUUCGUGCCAGCAGCCGCGGUAAUAC
rnacentral:rRNA from 1 species